UAGCAAUACGAUGGAAAGUUUAGUGGCGAACGGGUGCUUAACACGUGGGCAACCUGCCAAGAAGUGGGGGAUAGCUCGCCGAAAGGCGAAUUAAUACCGCAUGUGAUUAGAGAGGACAUCCUUUCAAAAUUAAAGUCGGGGCAACCUGACGCUUCUUGUGGGGCCCGCGGCCUAUCAGCUAGUUGGUGAGGUAACGGCUCACCAAGGCUUUGACGGGUAGCUGGUCUGAGAGGACGACCAGCCACACUGGGACUGAGACACGGCCCAGACACCUACGGGUGGCAGCAGUCGAGAAUUUUUGACAAUGGGGGAAACCCUGAUCGAGCGACGCCGCGUGGAGGAUGAAGGUCUUCGGAUUGUAAACUCCUGUCAUUGGGGAACAAUGCACAGAUAUUAACUGUAUUUGUGUUGAUAGUACCCGAAGAGGAAGAGACGGCUAACUCUGUGCCAGCAGCCGCGGUAAUACAGAGGUCUCAAGCGUUGUUCGGAUUCAUUGGGCGUAAAGGGUGCGUAGGCGGCGCGGUAAGUCGGGUGUGAAAUCUUGGAGCUUAACUCCGAAACUGCAUUCGAUACUGCCGUGCUUGAGGACUGGAGAGGAGACUGGAAUUCUCGGUGUAGCA
rnacentral:rRNA from 1 species